rfam:Parcubacteria bacterium GW2011_GWB1_41_4 TT61_C0001, whole genome shotgun sequence.
GCGGGUGUAGUUCAAUGGUAGAAUGCGACCCUUCCAAGGUUGAGAUAGGAGUCCGAUUCUCCUUACCCGCU